CAGUCUCACCACCAGGCUGACCAGUCUGACAUGCGGCAGGAGUGGACAUUCGUAGCAUUUGUCGUGGGACUCGGAGCAUUACACAAUAACAGCUUCACACAACAUGCGCAACCGGAGGGAAUGAAACUUGGCACCUCCUGAACGGUAGAGGCCAGGCUAAAGACUGCUCCGUGCCUUUGAAAAGAGUUUCUGGAGUUGCCGCCGUGAGGGUCGAGAGCAGCGACCCUUUGGAGCUCCGAGGACGUGUCGUCGCAGAUGGAUGGAACCCUGGAACGUAGAAUACUCUCGGCCCUCUCAAUCUCCUCCUCCAAACUGGGCUUGACUGACAGGGUGUGGGGCGACCGAUCUCUCUCAGGCGUGUGGCCC